GCCCGCCUCCCAGCCUUGGCGCGUGCAGUUUCGGUUGAAGGACGACACAGGAGGGUAUACGGUGGCAGCUGUGAGCACCUCUAUGAAAAUGGAGACUACAGAGAGGCACACCGAAUGCCCUGAGCCAUAUGUUGAUCUCGAUCGCAUCCUGAAAUGGCUCGACUCUAUGUCCGACAGCAUGAACAAGCUCGAAUAACUGUUGGGGAAAACCCCCACAACAACAUGGGGACUACAUGCAAACUGCAUACCCAUGGGGCCAGGGCAAAGACUUGAACCCUACCCUCAGAGUGUGAGCACCCAGCUUUUGCAGUACAGACUAAAAAUGUGCUUCGGCUAUCGAAACAAGAUGACAGUUCUUUGUAAAGAAGAAGCAGUGGAGACAGUUUUUUCCUGAACUAGACCCUGAACCCAAAGAUUGAGGAUGGAGCAUGGGAAGAUAAGAAUAAGUGAGCACGAAGGACUGGGCACAGUGAUGAGUUAUUAAUGGCCCAACCAGUAAUAUAAGUGUAGGCGUUGAGAGGUGUGAGGUGUGGGUCUGAAAUCACAGCAAAUGAUCUUUGCCUUUAAUAAGGAUGUAGAGUAAAAGGAUGAAGGUAAUUCCUCUGUCUGAAGCUGCCACUGCCAUGACCACUGUGUCUGCUUGCACCUCUCGCCUACAGUAUCAGAUAUAUGUGUGUGUACACAAACUGCUUAGCCAACAAAAUCCUCAUGUUGUUUUAUUUGCCAGUGGAGUGCCAGUUAGGUAGCUCAUUUAGGCUGUUACAGUUAUUCAGUUUAAAGUGCUUGGCAGUAUAGAUUUAUUAAUGUGAAUUCAUAGAAAUUAUACUCUGUUUUAUAUUUGUGUAAUGCAGUAUGAAUGUUACUUCUGUAAAAACACAGCAAUAACAGUCUGCUUUAAUAUCACAGUUACGUGAAUAGAUGGCAUUUAUGAUAAGUAACAGAAACAACUAAUUCACACGAUUCAGAUGGAUUUCACAAUGUGAUGAAAAGCGUAACACAUAUGGAAUUUAUUUUACAUGCAAAACUAUCUAGAGCAAUCUUACUAUUAAGCUUGUAAAUUUGUGAGUGCUGUUUAGGGAUGUGGGUGUGUGAAAGGGUUAGGGUUCCAUGGGAUGUGUCAGGGGACAGUGCCUUUGGGGUCCAGACCCACCGUCAUUUGCAUUGCUCAGUAUAAGCAGGAUUUGCGUGUGCUGCUGUAAUGUUUGUCUCACUUCUGAAGUUUCUGCUGUGCAGAUACAAAAACAAAGUUAUUUAAAAUUGCAGUCAUUAGCCAGCAGUCCAGUUUUCUACUUGUGAGUGAAUGCCAGUGCACACAGAUGCAGAAUAAACUGAAUAAACAAAUGGUAUUAUUAUGGCA